rnacentral:lncRNA from 1 species
GACGCUAUUAGAAACCCUAAUACUAUUUCGUAUAGUUAUGUAAUUUUAUUUUAUCUUUUUUUAUUUUAUCUAUAUUUUUCAUUUUCUCUUAUAUUUUAUCUCUAUGCGGUAAACAAACAAAUAUAAUGAUAAUAAAGACUAAAGAAAAAAACAAAUCAAACAAACGCAUAAAAUAAAACAAAAUAAAAAGCAAAGACAUGGAAUAAAACAAACAAAAUCAACUCAGUGAGAAAGGAACAUAUAUAAAACAUGAAAUAAAACAAACAAAAUAAACUCAGUGAGUAAGGAACAGAUAUAGAAACCAGAGAUGCGCGCCACACAAAGCUCUUUUCCUCUGACAACACCAAUCUUUGCUGAUAUGUAUUGAUGGAAGAUUGCAGUAAAGUUGAAGAUAAGUGNGACAGUCAUCAAAUCAAAUCNGAAUUGCGAACCUCCCAAGCAAAAUAGUGAUAAAAGUAAAUCAUUCUCNCNGAUAGACAAUAGCCUUGACAGUGGCCUCCAAAAGAAAGAAAACNAAUUUCUUCCAACAAAGGAAAUGAAUAAAAAUUCACUCCUCGUAACCCGCGUGCCUGAUGGCUCAAAGUUNAAUGAUAAUUAAAUGUACGUGNUGCACCCCUUCCAGUAAUGAUGNAGCAUACACCACACUUGAAUGCAAUUUCAAAUUAAAGGAAACCUUUGGCCAAAUGCUCAUUCNUAGAAAAUUGAAAANGUUCCUUGUGAAAUGAAGUCAACACAACCUCUUUGNAGCAGAAACGAAUGAGCCAAACUAGAAGGGAAAUGGAUUGAGAUUCCCAAAAAAUCAUCAAGUGNCGNCACNGUAAGUCGCUGCUUUCUCCAAGUAAAGGAGAAUGAAGAUGAAUCACAUAUUUCUCCUCCUUGUAACAUCAGCNGCUGCAUCAACAAGCACCAAAUACUGAACCUUAUUCAGCUUAAGGCUCUUCCCUUUCGACGACCACCACAUCUACACCUCGUGAAAGAGCAUUCNNNUGAGAGAGCACCGGACAAGCCAAUGACCUGGUUGUUGAGCCAGAUCCAGGCGACUGUGNAAAUGGCGAGAGGAGGGUAAACUACCAGUCCAGUUGUUGUAGAGAGGGAAAUUUNUCAAAAGAUGUCGGCUAAGGCAUCGGAAAGAGAAACAGUAGAGAGGUCAAGGUCGAUUAGGUUGGUGGAGGAGGUNAGAUCCGUGGGGAAAGUCCAGGGUGAGAGGAAACGGUUGGAGGUCAGGCUGAGGGUUUGGCGAGGGUUCAGGGCGGCGAAAGGAACAGCUGAAAAGUUGUUGCGNUUGUGGUAGGNCGUCCCGAGGAAGGAGAGUGGAAGAGUGAUGUCUUUUGGCUGAAGGGACCAAGAAAAUCAAAGGAUGUUUGUGAUGUUUGUUGGUUUGGUUAUCAGUGAGUGAGUGAGUGGUGGCGUUGUGUUCAUAACACGGAGGGAGUGAGGCAGCUGGAGAGAAUGCUGGGGACGUUGGGGAGAGAGUCCUCCAAUUAGGGUUCCCUUAGGGUUUUUGAGGUAGGGCAUUGGAUGAGAGGUUUUUACCUUGCGGGUUGGGCCUGAUGGAGGAGCCCAAAAUGUAAAAGUUCAACACGUUUUUUUUUAUUCCUUUUUUUUUCUUUUUUUCAAAAAGAAUAUAGAAAAUAAAACUAAAUAAGAUAAAUAAUAAAAAAAACUAAAUCCAAAUAAACUAAAAAUUAAAAAUAACAAAACCAAAAUAAAAUAAAAAAUAAAAAUAAAAUAAAAAAUAAAAACAAAAAAAAUAAAAUAAAAUAAGACAAAAACAAAAAUAAGUCUUAUUAUUUAGUCAUUCGGACGAAAUUGGGUGUUGACAGCUGCCCCUCUUUACUUAGAAUUACGGGAUAAUAUCAAAAUUUGAUAUUUUCGUAUUAUCUGAGUAAAACUAAGUAAAGAUAGAAACACUAAUUUCGUUCGGGUUUCAAAAAAGAAGGAAAGUGAACAAAAAUGAAAUAAGUCAUGACCAAAUGACCAACGCCUAGCAGAGGGCCAAAGUGACAGAACAAAGAUUUAAAUUCGACCAUUGCCAAGCAGAGGGCCGACAGCAAAAAACUAAAACUUGGAUUUGACCAUUGCCUCGCAGAGGGUCAAUAUCGCAGCAGAAAACUAAAGGUGCCAGAUAAAUCUGGGCUUAAAAACGUUAGACUGAAACUGUGCUUAAGAGGAAAAAGGUGUACACAUCUCGUGGAGGGUGUAACAGCCUUGUGAAUGAAUGAUAUGAGGUGUACUAACCUCGUGGAGGGUGUACAAACCCUAUGGAUGAAUGAUAUGAGGUGUACUAACCUCGUGGAGGGUGUACAAACCCUAUGAAUAAAUGAUAUGAGGUGUACGAAUCUCGUGGAGGGUGUACAAACCCUAUGGAUGAAUGAUAUGAGGUGUACUAACCUCGUGGAGGGUGUACCAACCCUACGAAUGAAUGUUGUGAGGUGUACNGGAAGGUGUUAGCACCCCCACAACGCCUGCCCUAAGGCAGUACCUUUAACUAAAUACGCGAAUUUGAUGUGGUUUGCAAAAUGUUUAAUUUCCCCUAAAAAAAUAAAACUCUAAAGAAAACAAAAUAUUUUUUUUGUGUUUUUUGUGCCCGACAAGAAUUGACCUUGCUCCUACAUAUUCUCAAUUGGACUGAGAAAUCAGGGUUACGUAGUUCUUUGAAACUAUUUGAAAAAAAGAUUUCUUUGAGAUAUUGUUUGGAAAAUUUGCUUGAAAAAGAUUGUGGAUAAAUUUUGAUUUGGAAAGUGAACCUGACAAGUACUGACCUUGCUCCUACGUAUCUCCACUUUUGAUGGAGAAUCAAGGAUAAUGUAGUUCUGGCUGAAAGGCUGUUUGUGUUUUGAAAAAUGAUGUUUUGUAUUUUGGAUAUUUUUAUGUAAAAAGAAAAGGUUCUCAGCACGAGGACGAUGCGAGCGAUCACACACGUGCUUAAACCUUCAAAACAAUUUUUAUUGAUUUUUAUAAAAGGAAGAAAAUAUAAAAGGAAGAAAAGGUCUCAGCACGAGGACGAUGCGUGCGAUCGCACACGUGCUUAAACCUUCAAAACAAUUUUUAUUGAUUUUUAUAAAAGGAAGAAAAGGUCUCAGCACGAGGACAAUGCGUGCAAUCACACACGUGCUUAAACCUUUAAAACACAUUUUUUGAUUUUUUUUAAAAAGAGAAAAGAUCUUAGCACGAGACUGAUGCGAAUGAUCACACACAUGCUUAAACCUUUAAAAUGUUUUUUAUUCUUUUAUGAAAAGGGAAAAAGGUCUUAACGCGAGGCUAAUGCAAAUUAUCGCACACACUUAAACCUUUAAAAUAUUUUUUAUUCUUUUAUAAAAGGGAAAAAAAGGUCGAGACUGAUGCGAAUGAUCGCACACCUGCUUAAACCUUUAAAAUAUUUUUUAUUUUAUAAAAAGGAAGAAGAUCUUAGCGCGAGGCUAUGAUCGCACACACACUUAAACCUUUAAAAUAUUUUUGUUUAAUUUAUUUUUAUAUUUUUUUACUUUUUUAUCUUUUAUUUUUGUUUAAUAUUUCUUUAUAAUAUUAAAAUACUAUUUUCAUACAAACGUUUAAAACAAGGUAAUUAUUUUUGCAGAAAGUAUUACACGAAAUACUAAAACUACUUUUUAUAAUUUUAAAUUUAACCUUUAUAAUUUAAAAAAACAAUAUUUAAGGAAAAAAGCAAAAACAAAUUGAAACCUAUAUUUAGAUAUUAAAAGAAAGAUAGCGUCAGGAGCUAUUAUUAAAACAUAGACGCUAUUAGAAACCCUAAUACUAUUUCGUAUAGUUAUGUAAUUUUAUUUUAUCUUUUUUUAUUUUAUCUAUAUUUUUCAUUUUCUCUUAUAUUUUAUCUCUAUGCGGUAAACAAACAAAUAUAAUGAUAAUAAAGACUAAAGAAAAAAACAAAUCAAACAAACGCAUAAAAUAAAACAAAAUAAAAAGCAAAGACAUGGAAUAAAACAAACAAAAUCAACUCAGUGAGAAAGGAACAUAUAUAAAACAUGAAAUAAAACAAACAAAAUAAACUCAGUGAGUAAGGAACAGAUAUAGAAACCAGAGAUGCGCGCCACACAAAGCUCUUUUCCUCUGACAACACCAAUCUUUGCUGAUAUGUAUUGAUGGAAGAUUGCAGUAAAGUUGAAGAUAAGUGNGACAGUCAUCAAAUCAAAUCNGAAUUGCGAACCUCCCAAGCAAAAUAGUGAUAAAAGUAAAUCAUUCUCNCNGAUAGACAAUAGCCUUGACAGUGGCCUCCAAAAGAAAGAAAACNAAUUUCUUCCAACAAAGGAAAUGAAUAAAAAUUCACUCCUCGUAACCCGCGUGCCUGAUGGCUCAAAGUUNAAUGAUAAUUAAAUGUACGUGNUGCACCCCUUCCAGUAAUGAUGNAGCAUACACCACACUUGAAUGCAAUUUCAAAUUAAAGGAAACCUUUGGCCAAAUGCUCAUUCNUAGAAAAUUGAAAANGUUCCUUGUGAAAUGAAGUCAACACAACCUCUUUGNAGCAGAAACGAAUGAGCCAAACUAGAAGGGAAAUGGAUUGAGAUUCCCAAAAAAUCAUCAAGUGNCGNCACNGUAAGUCGCUGCUUUCUCCAAGUAAAGGAGAAUGAAGAUGAAUCACAUAUUUCUCCUCCUUGUAACAUCAGCNGCUGCAUCAACAAGCACCAAAUACUGAACCUUAUUCAGCUUAAGGCUCUUCCCUUUCGACGACCACCACAUCUACACCUCGUGAAAGAGCAUUCNNNUGAGAGAGCACCGGACAAGCCAAUGACCUGGUUGUUGAGCCAGAUCCAGGCGACUGUGNAAAUGGCGAGAGGAGGGUAAACUACCAGUCCAGUUGUUGUAGAGAGGGAAAUUUNUCAAAAGAUGUCGGCUAAGGCAUCGGAAAGAGAAACAGUAGAGAGGUCAAGGUCGAUUAGGUUGGUGGAGGAGGUNAGAUCCGUGGGGAAAGUCCAGGGUGAGAGGAAACGGUUGGAGGUCAGGCUGAGGGUUUGGCGAGGGUUCAGGGCGGCGAAAGGAACAGCUGAAAAGUUGUUGCGNUUGUGGUAGGNCGUCCCGAGGAAGGAGAGUGGAAGAGUGAUGUCUUUUGGCUGAAGGGACCAAGAAAAUCAAAGGAUGUUUGUGAUGUUUGUUGGUUUGGUUAUCAGUGAGUGAGUGAGUGGUGGCGUUGUGUUCAUAGCACGGAGGGAGUGAGGCAGCUGGAGAGAAUGCUGGGGACGUUGGGGAGAGAGUCCUCCAAUUAGGUUCCCUUAGGGUUUUUGAGGUAGGGCAUUGGAUGAGAGGUUUCUACCUUGCGGGUUGGGCGUGAUGGAGGAGCCAAAAUGUAAAAGUUGAACACGUUUUUUCUUUUUUUAUUCCUUUUUUUUCUUUUUUUAAAAAGAAUAUAGAAAAUAAAACUAAAUAAGAUAAAUAAUAAAAAAAAAACUAAAUCCAAAUAAACUAAAAAUUAAAAAUAACAAAACUAAAAUAAAAAAUAAAAUAAAAUAAAAUAAAAUAAAAUAAGACAAAAACAAAAAUAAGUCUUAUUAUUUAGUCAUCCGGACGAAAUUGGGUGUUGACACACGAUACAAGUCAAAAAACAAUAGUGAAGAUAAUGGUCAGAUANAAAAAAAUGGAUCUGCUUUGAAAGUAGUAUGGUACCUUCCAAUAGUGCCCAGACUUAAGCAUUUGUUU